rnacentral:rRNA from 1 species
AUUGAACGCUGGCGGCAGGCCUAACACAUGCAAGUCGAGCGGCAGCGGGUCCUUCGGGAUGCCGGCGAGCGGCGGACGGGUGAGUAAUGCCUAGGAAUCUGCCUGGUAGUGGGGGAUAACGUUCGGAAACGGACGCUAAUACCGCAUACGUCCUACGGGAGAAAGUGGGGGAUCUUCGGACCUCACGCUAUCAGAUGAGCCUAGGUCGGAUUAGCUAGUUGGUGGGGUAAAGGCUCAACAAGGCGACGAUCCGUAACUGGUCUGAGAGGAUGAUCAGCCACACUGGAACUGAGACACGGUCCAGACUCCUACGGGAGGCAGCAGUGGGGAAUAUUUGACAAUGGGCGAAAGCCUGAUCCAGCCAUGCCGCGUGUGUGAAGAAGUUCUUCGGAUUGUAAAGCACUUUAAGUUGGGAGGAAGGGCAGUCAGUUAAUACCUGGUUGUUUUGACGUUACCAACAGAAUAAGCACCGGCUAACUUCGUGCCAGCCGCCGCCGUAACAC